rnacentral:lncRNA from 1 species
ACUGAGAGCCACGAGCUGGGCUGGGCCGAAAGAGGCCACUGGGAGGCAGGAGAAGCUGGGCCUGGAGAGGCUGACUCGAGGAAGUUUUGCACCGGGAGAGGCCGCCGAGAGGACGGAGCUGGGCCCGGGGAGGCCAACUUGCAGCUCUUCCAGGCCCACUUCCAGGCCAACUUAAGGACGACUUAGGCCUGCAGAGGCCGCCGGGAGGCUGGAGCUGGGCCUGGAGAGGCCGACUUCAGCACGAUUUAGGCCUGCAGAGGUCGCCGGGAGGCCCAAGCUGGGCCUAGAGGAGGGGAGGCCACCGUGAGGCAAAUGCUCAGUUUUCGGAGGAUGCCGUGAGGCAGGGAGAAACUUGGCUUUCGGUGGCCGCAGUGAGGGAAUAGUUUGAUUGCUGAGGCUGCUGGGAGGCCGAAGGUGGGCCUGGAAAGCUUUACUUUAAGAACUCUGUGGCCUACAGAGACUGCCAAGCAGCUCAGCAGGAGUUGGGCCAAAGGAGGUUGUUGUGAGGCAGGAGACGGGCCUGUAGACGCACUGGGAGGAUGAGCUCGUCCCGGAGAUGCCGAGUUAAGGACAUUCUGGGCCUGGACAGGCUGCAAAAGGCAAAAGCUGUGCCUGGAAAAGUCGCCGUGGGGCAUGAGCUUG